rnacentral:rRNA from 1 species
GAUGAACGCUGGCGGCGUGCCUAACACAUGCAAGUCGAGCGGAGAUAUAUGAACAGAUAGAGAUAUUUGGGAAUACAUCUUAGCGGCGGACGGGUGAGUAACACGUGAGGAACCUGCCUUACACUAAGGAAUAACAACGUGAAAACGUUGCUAAUACCGCAUAACACCGCACUAUGGCAUCAUAGAGCGGUCAAAGGAGAGAUCCGGUGUAAGAUGGCCUCGCGCCCGAUUAGUUAGUUGGUGGGGUAACGGCCCACCAAGACUACGAUCGGUAGCCGGACUGAGAGGUCGAACGGCCACAUUGGAACUGAGAGACGGUCCAGACUCCUACGGGAGGCAGCAGUGGGGAAUAUUGGGCAAUGGGGGAAACCCUGACCCAGCAACGCCGCGUGAAGGAAGAAGGCCUUCGGGUUGUAAACUUCUUUGAUCAGGGAAGAAACAAAUGACGGUACCUGAAAAACAAGCCACGGCUAACUACGUG